GAGCAGAGGGUGGAGGCCGCUUGGGUCUACCAGGGGAUCGGUUCGGCAGACGGCCGGGGAGCGCCUCGGAGAACCGAGUAGUGGAGUCCCCAGAAGAUCGGGUGUCACUAAUGACGGUCGGUCUUGGGGUGUGGGAUCCCAAAGGUCAGAUAUCACUGAUGACGGCCGGUCUUUAGGGGGGGGGGGAAAAAAAGCUAACUACAAUGUAUUGGGUGGACGGGGUACUAGACCCUAUCCCGAAAAAGACUCCGCAGUUAACUCCCAGAGAAGUUUGCUCACUCCAAAGUGUAAGCCUUACCUUCUCCG